CAAUAGCGUAUAUUUAAGUUGUUGCAGUUAAAAAGCUCGUAGUUGGAUUUCGGGCCCAGGUGACCGGUCCGCCGUUUCGGUGUGCACUGGUUAGCUCGGUCUUUCUGCCGGGGACGCGCUCCGUCUUAAUUGCCGGACGCGGAGUCGGCGAUGUUACUUUGAAAAAAUUAGAGUGUUCAAAGCAGGCUUACGCUCUGAAUACUAUAGCAUGGAAUAACACGAUAGGACUCCGAGCCUAUUUUGUUGGUCUUCGGGACCGGAGUAAUGAUUAAGAGGGACAGUUGGGGGCAUUCGUAUUACGGUGUCAGAGGUGAAAUUCUUGGAUUUCCGUAAGACGAACUUCUGCGAAAGCAUUUGCCAAGGAUGUUUNCAUUAA
rnacentral:rRNA from 1 species